CUGGGAGCUCUAGGAUAUCCCAGCACAAUCUACCCUUGUUUUUCUGUGGUGGAAAAGACUCAUAAAACACAAAAAACCCCAAAUAAAGUAAAGCAUAAUUAGUGAUUUUCUCCUGCUCACACAUCCUUUAGGCCAGUUUGGUUUUCUCCAUUUUUAAUGAGCAUGGGAAGAGAUUGUUUGGGAGCUGUAGGAUAUCCCACCACAAUCUAUCCUUGUUUUUCUGUAGUGGAAAAGGCUCAUAAAACAUAAAACACAAAAAAACCCAAAUAAAGUAGAGCAUAAUUAGUGAUUUUUACCUGCUCAGACAUCCUGUGGGCCAAUUUGGUUUUCUCCAUUGUUAAUGAGCAUGGGAAGAGAUUGUUUGGGAGCUCUAGGAUAUCCCACCAAAAACUGUCCUUCUUUUUCCAUAAUGGAAAACGUUCAUAAAACACAAAAAAACCCAAAUAAAAUGGAGCAUAAUUAUUGAUUUUCACCUGCCCAUCUUUUGGGCCACUUUGGUUUUCUGCAUUGUAAUGAGCAUGGGAAGAGAUUGUUUGGGAGAUGUAGGAUAUCCCAGCACAAUCUAUCCUUGUUUUUUCUGUGGUGGAAAAGGCUCAUAAAACACAAAACAUAAAACACAAAAACCUCAAAUAAAUCAGAGCAUAAUUAGUAAUUUUCACCUGCUCACACAUCCUUUGGGCCAGUUUGGUUUUCUCCAUUUUUAAUGAGCAUAGGAAGAGAUUGUUUAGGAGCUGUAGGAUAUCCCAGCACAAUCUACCCUUGUUUUUUCAUAGUGGAAAAGGCUCAUAAAACACAAAACACAAAAAACCCCAAAUAAAUCAAAGCAUAAUUAGUAAUUUUUACCUGCUCACACACCCUUUGGGCAAGUUUGGUUUUCUCCAUUGUAAUGAGCAUGGGAAGAGAUUGUUUGGGAGCUGUAGGAUAUCCCACCAAAAACUGUAUUUGUUUUUAAAUAGUGGAAAAGGCUCAUAAAACACAAAAACCCCCAAAUAAAAUAGAGCAUUGCACCAACACCCCACCUCAUACCAUUAUUUUACCUAAAGAAAAAAAACCCAAAAUAAAAUCCAAACCAACAGUUUGUUUUUUUGUUUUUGCUGACAGCUCAUCUGUGGGUGAAGAACUGCAAGGAGCUUUUCCCGUCCUCCUACAAGAAGGGCCGGCUGGAUCAGCCCCUGCAGGCCUCGCUGUGGCUCAAGAACUUCAAAACCUCCAACGAGCGUUUUCUGGACGAGAUAAAAACGCAAAAAAAAUACAUUUGGGGCAAAAGAGAAAGCACAGAGGAGGGCAGGCCUUUGAGGGAAGUGGUGGAGCAGGUAAGGAGCAAACUCUGCUGCUGGCGUGGCCUCACCUUGGGGCACGAGAUCCUGGGUUUGUGGGAGAUUUCACCUAAAAAUCCUAAAAAUCUGAGUCCUGGGAAAUAGCUGGUGUCUCCCCAUGCACAAAAGAUGAUGUGGUGGAUCUGGAAAGAAAAUUGUACAGAGAAUUUGGAUAGAUGGCAAAGCUAGAGUUUGAAAUUUCCAUGUUUUGAUGCUCAGGCUGCUCUUGGGAGAGGCUGUUGAAUUUCAGUUUGUCUUCUCUUGGAGGAGCUGCCCAAAAAUCACCCCCGAGAAGAAAUCCUCUCCCUCUGAAUUAUUGUAAUUAUUUACAGCAGAUAACUGCCCCACAUGGUUUUAGCAGUGUUAA
ensembl:lncRNA